GUAUAUUAAAGUUGUUGCAGUUAAAACGUUCGUAGUUGAAUUUGUGUUCCACACGGGCAGUACACCUAAAUCUUGGGUUUGUACAUUGCCUUAAAAUUAAAAAUGUGUGUGAACGUAUUACCGGCUGAAUUUAUAUUUUUAAUAUGAAUUCACAUAUUAUAUGUCCUACUUCAGUGCUCUUAAUCGAGUGCUGUUGUGGGCCGGUACAAUUACUUUGAACAAAUUAGAGUGCUUAAAGCAGGCUUUUAAUGCCUGAAUAUUUGUGCAUGGAAUAAUGGAAGAGGACAUCUGUUCUAUUUUCUAUUGGUUUUUAGAUCAAGAUGUAAUGAUUAAUAGAAGCAGUUGGGGGCAUUAGUAUUACGACGCGAGAGGUGAAAUUCUUGGACCGUCGUAAGACUGACUAAAGCGAAAGCAUUUGCCAAAUAUGUUUUCAUUAAUCAAGAACGAAAGUUAGAGGUUCGAAGGCGAUCAGAUACCGCCCUAGUUCUAACCAUAAACGAUGUCAGCUAGCAAUUGAAUGUAGCUACUACUAUGGCUCUUUCAGACGCUUCUCGGGAAACCAAAGCUUUUGGGCUCCGGGGGAAGUAUGGUUGCAAAGCUGAAACUUAAAGGAAUUGACGGAAGGGCACCACCAGGAGUGGAGCCUGCGGCUUAAUUUGACUCAACACGGGAAAACUUACCAGGUCCGAACAUAAAUAAGUAAGACAGAUUGAUAGCUCUUUCUCGAAUCUAUGGGUGGUGGUGCAUGGCCGUUCUUAGUUCGUGGAGUGAUUUGUCUGGUUAAUUCCGAUAACGAACGAGACUCAAAUAUAUUAAAUAGAUGCAUUCAGGAUUAUGGUGUUGAAGCUUAUAUGCUCGCCUGUUUUCGUUCCUCACGGUGCGUUUGCAGUUGUGUAUGUAUGUAAGUGGAGCCAUACCUGUUUGUUUGUCUAAUUAAAAAUAGACACUAGCUUCUUAAAUGGACAAAUUG
rnacentral:rRNA from 1 species